GGGUCUGUAGCUCAGUGGUUAGAGCAGAAGCCUCUUAAGCUUUGUGUCCUGGGUUCGAAUCCCAGCAGACUCA
rnacentral:tRNA from 1 species